AGGUUGAAGGUGUGGUAACACACACUGGAGGACCGAACCGACUAGUGUUGCAAAAUUAGCGGAUGAGCUGUGGAUAGGGGUGAAAGGCUAAACAAAUCUGGAGAUAGCUGGUUCUCCCCGAAAACUAUUGAGGUAGUGCCUCGUGUAUGACUCCAGGGGGUAGAGCACUGUUAUGGCUAGGGGGACAUGGCGUCUUACCAAACCAUGGCAAACUCCGAAUACUUGGAAGUUUGAGCACGGGAGACAGAGCACCGGGUGCUAACGUCCGGACUCAAGAGGGAAACAACCCAGACCGCCGGCUAAGGUCCCUAAUAUUGACUAAGUGGAAAACGAAGUGGAAAGGCUAAGACAGUCAGGAAGUUGGCUUAGAAGCAGCCAUCCUUCAAAGAAAGCGUAAUAGCUCACUGAUCGAGUCUUUCUGCGCGGAAGAUGUAACGGGGCUAAGUCAAUAACCGAAGCCGCGGAUUCACACUUAUGUGUGAGUGGUAGGGGAGCGUUCUGUAAGCCUGCGAAGGUGACUCGUAAGGGUUGCUGGAGGUAUCAGAAGUGCGAAUGCUGACAUGAGUAACGUUAAAGCGGGUGAAAAGCCCGCUCGCCGUAAGCCCAAGGUUUCCUGCUCUACGUUCAUCGGAGCAGGGUGAGUCGGCCCCUAAGGUGAGGCUGAGAAGCGUAACUGAUGGGAACAAGGUUAAUAUUCCUUGACCACCGCUGAAUGCGAAGGGGGGACGGAGUAUUGAAGAUCAUCCGGGUGUUGGAUAUCCCGGUUUGCGAGCGUAGGAGGCUGACAGGCAAAUCCGUCAGCGAAUCUCCGAGGCAAAGCAUCGAGCUCUCUUUUGAGCGAAGUGAUUGGAUGUGCUUCCAGGAAAAGCCUCUAAGCUCCAGUUCAGCGGGACCGUACCGCAAACCGACACUGGUGGGCGAGCUGAAUAUGCUCAGGCGCUUGAGAGAACUCAGGAGAAGGAACUCGGCAAAUUGACACCGUAACUUCGGGAUAAGGUGUGCCUUUGUAGCGUGGAGGGAGAAACACCCCGAGCGCGAAGAGGUCUCAGAUAAUCGGUGGCUGCGACUGUUUAUUAAAAACACAGCACUCUGCAAAGACGAAAGUCGACGUAUAGGGUGUGAUGCCUGCCCGGUGCUGGAAGAUUAAUUGAUGGGGUGCAAGCUCCUGAUCGAAGUCCCAGUAAACGGCGGCCGUAACUAUAACGGUCCUAAGGUAGCGAAAUUCCUUGUCGGGCAAGUUCCGACCUGCACGAAUGGCAUAACGAUGGCCACACUGUCUCCUCCUGAGACUCAGUGAAGUUGAAGUGUUUGUGAUGAUGCAAUCUCCCCGCGGCUAGACGGAAAGACCCCAUGAACCUUUACUGUAGCUUUGCAUUGGACUUUGAACCGAUCUGUGUAGGAUAGGCGGGAGCCUGUGAAACCACAACGCCAGUUGUGGCGGAGGCGUCCUUGAAAUACCGCCCUGAUUUGUUUGAGGUUCUAACCUGGGACAGUUAUCCUGUCCGGGGACCGUGCAUGGUAGGCAGUUUGACUGGGGCGGUCUCCUCCUAAAGGGUAACGGAGGAGUGCGAAGGUACGCUAGGUACGGUCGGAAAUCGUGCUGAUAGUGCAAUGGCAAAAGCGUGCUUGACUGCGAGACCCACAAGUCGAGCAGAUACGAAAGUAGGUCAUAGUGAUCCGGUGGCUCUGUAUGGAAGGGCCAUCGCUCAACGGAUAAAAGGUACUCUGGGGAUAACAGGCUGAUACCGCCCAAGAGUUCAUAUCGACGGCGGUGUUUGGCACCUCGAUGUCGGCUCAUCUCAUCCUGGGGCUGUAGCCGGUCCCAAGGGUAUGGCUGUUCGCCAUUUAAAGAGGUACGUGAGCUGGGUUUAAAACGUCGUGAGACAGUUUUGUCCCUAUCUGCCGUGGGCGCUGGAAGAUUGACGGGGGCUGCUCCUAGUACGAGAGGACCGGAGUGGACUCACCUCUGGUGUACCGGUUGUCACGCCAGUGGCAUCGCCGGGUAGCUAUGUGGGGAAGAGAUAACCGCUGAAAGCAUCUAAGCGGGAAACUUGCCUGAAGAUAAGUCUUCCUGGAGGCUAGACCUCCCUAAAGAGUCGUUCGAGACCAGGACGUUGAUAGGAUGGGUGUGUAAGUGUUGUGAGGCACUCAGCUAACCAUUACUAAUUGCUCGUGAAGCUUGAUCC
rnacentral:rRNA from 1 species